rnacentral:rRNA from 1 species
AGAGAUCAUGGCUCAGAAUCAACGCUGGCGGCGUGCCUAACACAUGCAAGUCGAACGCGAAAGCCCCGCAAGGGGUGAGUAGAGUGGCAAACGGGUGAGUAACACGUGGGUGAUCUGCCUCAGAGUGGGGGAUAACGACCCGAAAGGGUCGCUAAUACCGCAUAACAUCCUGCGCUUGGAUGCGUGGAGAUCAAAGUUGGGGAUCCGCAAGGACCUGACGCUUGGAGAGGAGCCCGCGGCCGAUUAGCUAGUUGGUGAGGUAACGGCUCACCAAGGCAACGAUCGGUAUCCGGCCUGAGAGGGCGGACGGACACACUGGGACUGAGACACGGCCCAGACUCCUACGGGAGGCAGCAGUGGGGAAUUGUUCGCAAUGGGCGCAAGCCUGACGACGCAACGCCGCGUGGAGGACGAAGAUUUUCGGAUCGUAAACUCCUUUCGAUCGGGAAGAACAGCUCCCGGGUUAAUAGCCUGGGAGUCUGACGGUACCGAGAGAAGAAGCCCCGGCUAACUCUGUGCCAGCAGCCGCGGUAAUACAGGGGGGGCAAGCGUUGUUCGGAAUUACUGGGCGUAAAGGGCUCGUAGGCGGCCGACUAAGUCCGACGUGAAAUCCCAAAGCUUAACUUUGGAACUGCGUCGGAUACUGGAUGGCUUGAAUUCGGGAGAGGGAUGCAGAAUUCCAGGUGUAGCGGUGAAAUGCGUAGAUAUCUGGAGGAAUACCGGUGGCGAAGGCGGCAUCCUGGACCGACAUUGACGCUGAGGAGCGAAAGCUAGGGGAGCAAACGGGAUUAGAUACCC